UACGGGGGGUGCGAGCGUUGUCCGGAAUCAUUGGGCGUAAAGGGUGCGUAGGUGGCGCCGUAAGUCAGGUGUGAAAUCUCGGGGCUCAACCCCGAAACUGCACUUGAUACUGCGGUGCUCGAGUACUGGAGAGGAGAUUGGAAUUUACGGUGUAGCAGUGAAAUGCGUAGAUAUCGUAAGGAAGACCAGUGGCGAAGGCGAAUCUCUGGACAGUUACUGACACUGAGGCACGAAGGUCAGGGGAGCAAACGGG
rnacentral:rRNA from 1 species